GUGGCUCGUGGUCUUAGGAAGCAUCUGAAGCGGGUAGCAGCUCCACAGCAUUGGAUGCUGGAUGAAUUGACUAGUGUGUUUGCUCCUUGUCCAACCACCAGUCCCCACAAGCUGAGAGAGUGUCUCUCCUAAUAUUUUCCUAAGGAACAGACUUAAGUAUGCCCUCAUAGGAGACAAAGUAAAGAUUUGCAUGCAGCCGUUCAUUAAGAUGGAUGGCAAGGUCCAAAUUGAUAUAACCUACCCUGCUGGAUUCACGGAUGUCAUCAGCAUUCACAAGACGGGAGAGAAUUUCUGUCUCAUCUGUGGCAUCAAUGGUCGCUUUGCUGUACAUUGUAUUACACUGGAGGAGGCCAAGUACAAGUUGUGCAAAGUAAGAAAAAUCUUUGUGGGCACAAAAGGAAUCCCUCACCUGGUUCCACGAUGCUCACACCAUCCACUACCUUGACUCCUUCGUCAAGGUGAAUGACACUGUUUAGACUGGCAAGAUCACUGAUUUCAUCAAGUUUGACACUGGUAACCUGUGUAUGGUGAUUGGAGAUACUAACCUGGGAAGAAUUGGUGUGAUCACCAACAGAAAGAAGCACCGUGGAUCUUUUGAUGUGGUUCAUGUGAAAGAUGCCAAUGGCAACAGAUUUGCCCCUUGGCUUUCCAACAUUUUUGUUACUGGCAAGUGCAACAAACCAUGGAUUUCUCUUCCCCGAGGAAAGGGUAUCCGCCUCACCAUUGCUGAAGGGAGAGACAAGAGACUGGUGGUGGGUGAAAUGGUGGGUGA
rnacentral:lncRNA from 1 species